AUNGGGGAACCCUGAUGCAGCAACGCCGCGUGCGGGAUGACGGCCUUCGGGUUGUAAACCGCUUUCAGCAGGGGCGAAUUCAGACGGUACCUGCAGAAGAAGCACCGGCUAACUACGUGCCAGCAGCCGCGGUGAUACGUAGGGUGCGAGCGUUGUCCGGAUUUAUUGGGCGUAAAGAGCUCGUAGGUGGUUUGUUGCGUCGGAAGUGAAAACCCAAGGCUUAACUUUGGGCUUGCUUUCGAUACGGGCAGACUUGAGGAAGGUAGGGGAGAACGGAAUUCCUGGUGGAGCGGUGGAAUGCACAGAUAUCAGGAGGAACACCGGUGGCGAAGGCGGUUCUCUGGACCUUUCCUGACGCUGAGGAGCGAAAGCGUGGGGAGCAAACAGGCUUAGAUACCCUGGUAGUCCACGCCGUAAACGGUGGGCACUAGGUGUGGGGGACAUUCCACGUUCUCCGUGCCGUAGCUAACGCAUUAAGUGCCCCGCCUGGGGAGUACGGCCGCAAGGCUAAAACUCAAAGGAAUUGACGGGGGCCCGCACAAGCGGCGGAGCAUGCGGAUUAAUUCGAUGCAACGCGAAGAACCUUACCUGGGUUUGACAUAUGCCGGAAGCAGCCAGAGAUGGUUGUGCCUUUUUGGUCGGUUUACAGGUGGUGCAUGGCUGUCGUCAGCUCGUGUCGUGAGAUGUUGGGUUAAGUCCCGCAACGAGCGCAACCCUCGUCCUAUGUUGCCAGCACGUUAUGGUGGGAACUCAUGGGAGACUGCCGGGGUCAACUCGGAGGAAGGUGGGGAUGAGGUCAAGUCAUCAUGCCCCUUAUGUCCAGGGCUUCACGCAUGCUACAAUGGCUGGUACAAAGGGUUGCGAUGCCGUGAGGCGGAGCGAAUCCCGUAAAGCCAGUCUCAGUU
rnacentral:rRNA from 1 species